GCUACUCUAGCGUUUUCUUGGAUUGAUAGAGACUCAUGGGCUAAAUUGUGCACUUAUUAUGAUUCAGAGGACAAGAAGGUGUAUAGUUUAAACUAAAUUAAUUGUUUAGUAGGUAAUUAAUUUUUCUUUUGUUUGAUUUCAAAUCUAAAUAUAAUACUAACAUGCAGGAGAACGCAAGACGUAAUGUGCA
rnacentral:pre_miRNA from 1 species